ACCCCACGCUGAAUGGGUCACGUGACCCGCGCUUCCUCUGGAGUUCACUGGACCCCUCAGCAAACAGGACUGCACUUCCUCUGAGACGGAAGCACUAAGAACCUGAAGCUCCUGGAGAGUGAAUCCAAGGCCGAGGGAAAAACCUUAGGGCCGGAAGGGGAGAGGCCAAGUCACGGUGACAUCUUCGAGCUCCAUUUUCCCUGUGCCUGCAGCCAACACAACUCCAAGACUUUCUCGUUAUGGAAACUGUUUCUGCUGAGAGACGAGGCCCUGGCUGGAGAUAGAGGCAGGAAAGUGAACCCACAGACAUGGGGAGCUGACGGUGCCUGUGCGUUUAUCAUGUGUUUGCAGUCUGCACACCAGAGAGGCGACCGGCCCCUCCCGUCUUCAGAUCUGCCGAGCUGGAAACAGACCUGAGAGAGAGGAGGCCUGAGCAGUGUCGGGAAAUUUCUUCCCUCAGAACAAAAGGAGGGAGACUCUUAAGUGUCUGGCCCUAUGGGGUGACUCUGCAGCACCAGAACCCUGCCCUCAGGGCUGACACCGGCAGCCUUGGAGCUCGGGGAGGAGGGACGAGGUGCUCCCCAGCCACUUCAGCCUCCAGUCCCGGGGAAUGUGGGCUCUGGGUUCCAACUCCGAGGCCCGUGUCCCCUGGCAGGCACUCGGGGUGUCAUCCCAUCACCUGAGCCUAGCUGUGUGUCGGGCACGUAUAUAACAGGAGCCCGGAUGACUGACCGACGAGUGUCAGCCCUGCCCCCUGCAAACCUAGAGUCCAGCCAGGGUGGCUUCAGCAGUGCCGCUCGCCCCGGGCACCAGCAGCCUGCUCAGGGCCGCAGACUCAUUCCUGCCCUCCCUUCCUUCCUCUGUCCCUGUGGGGUGGGGACACGGCUAUGAGCCAGUCCGUGGCAAAGCCAUGAGGGAGACUAGAAAUGAGCACGAGACGAGCAGAGCUCACAGAUCCACUUCUUGGGGACACCUGAGCAGAUGUUGCACGGCACACACCUCCCAGGACACGCUCUUCUCACCAAGGGUGCACUGUCCCAAGUGGGUACCACUGGCCCUGUUUACACUUGAGAAAACUGGGGCUCAGAGAGGUAAAUGACAGUCCCUGGGAGGGGCAGCCAGGUCACCUAACUCCAAUUUCCCCUUCCUCGCUACCUUUCUCAGCAAGGCUGAAUACAAACGAUACGCAAACACAUUCGAAAUACGUGAGUGAGCGCUGUCCGGACCAAGGUUCCCGGCUCCGGGACAAGUUCCUGGGAAGAGUAAAAAACUCCCAGCCCACCUCCCUGGUCCUGCUUGUUUCUACCGCUUAAUUCCCACAAAACGAGAUGCUCACUACUUUUAUCCCAGUCCCCUUAGGUGACAUUUGUCACCCGCUCUCACGAAGGCCUCGGUGAGGAUCCCAAUAAUCUUCCUCCCUCCAUGUGGGCUGUCGGCCUCAUCUACCUCUUUUGUUCUUCCGUCCGGUCACCUUGGACCCCCCAACUCUCUGCCCCAGCCUGGCAACACAAAAAACAUUUAAUUUGCCAAUCUUUGACAGAGGAGAGGAUCUUAUGAUGGUCUUACUCUCCUGGCUCUGGGACUGAGGUUCCCCACAUUAGGGGGCUGCUAGUUUCUGCUGUCAUUGCUGAGAACGGCCCAGUCGUUUGAAUUAUUUCUCUGGGACGGAUUCCAGAGUGGAGUCGCUUUCGAGUUUCUGCUGAGUGUUGCCGAGCUGCUUCCCACCCGAGUGGUCUGAGCCUGCCUGUUUCACAGCAUCCUUACCAGCUCUGGGUUUUAGCAUUAACGUGUUAAAAGAGUUUAUCGGAAAAUGAAAUCUAGUUCCACUUUCCAGGAUAUUUAAGUUGUAUUCCUUCAUUUUUUGUGAGGUGCUGCCUCAAUCCUUUUAUAUGCACCGAAGGAGUUUUUGUUUUCUCCACCGAUUUGGGUGUACCGGAUGUACCCCUCCCCCCCACCCCAGUCCACGGGAGGGCGGGUUCAGAGUAGGACCGAACUGCCCACCCGAUUGCUUAACCCAGAGCUGUGUUUUCAGACUUUCUAACCAAGCAGCAGAGUCUUAUCUCACAGAACCUCACAGAGCCCCUCUGCACAAAAAACCCUAAUAAGUGGCGGAUGGGGGAAGGCCCGGAGCGCUAUCUCCCUCCCCUUCCGGGGACCCUGUCUUACCAGCACAAAGGCCUCUGGGACCUUCUUUUCCUUCGGUCUGAGGAGGGCGUCGCUCUGGAGUCAAGGACCUGAAAAGAGACGAUGACCGAUGACCGGUUUACAAAGGUGCCUGGAACUCAGCCCACAGCAGAACAGCCCCGCACAGGUGACCCAGGAGAAGGCACAGCCUCAUGAAGGCAGGGGUUACGUCCGCUUGUUCACUUUGGAUCUGUGACUCCCAGACAGCACCUAGCUCAGAGGAGACGCCGAUACAAAUUGGCUGCGGGCUGGAACUGACCUCCCAAGAAAGGAAAGUGUCCUGGCCUUGCCACCACCUCCGUCUUCGCUCCCGCCUGAAAACACGAAGACAGAGCCACUGGCCUGGAGGAAAGGGGAGGAAGCUGAGCCUAGUCACCCAUUUGAACAGGCCUCCCUGACCCUGCGUGAGAAGUGGGGCAUCCAGACAAGUCCUGCCUGUCCCCUGAGGGCUGUUAGGAUCAAGUGUUUCCAAGGCUCUGAAGAGGAUCCCAACCUCCCAGUUCAGCUUUGAGAGGAGUGACCACCUAGCACUCAGAGGGCCCGCAGCCCAGCACCCUACGAACACUGCCAAGUCCUGCAGGCGAUCAAACCACCAAACACCAGACGUGCACAAGUGUUAAGGUCAGAAAACUCAACAGAUGUCCAGCCUCAUCUACCACCUAAGACAUAGCUGGAAUCCAAAAAGCAGCAGCAAGCACCCCUGAACAGUCAAAAUGAGUGCGGCAGCGCCUCCCACACUGGCACAGAGGGACCCUGAGGCCCUCACUCAGAGCCCACCUGCCUUCACUGAGCACACGUUUCUGACAAACAUUGUAACUUGGAUCCAUUUACACAAAAGACAAACCCAAGAGGAAAAGCGCAAGGAAAAGAAAAACAGCCUUGGAGAGCUGAAGUGGUUUGCCCCAACUCACACUGCAGAAGCUUGUUCCACGUCACGCCUCCCCAACGCCCCCCCCCCACGCUUCCCUCCAGGUCCCCCCAGGGCCCUGCCCGUGUGCCAGGCCUGCUCCCGACCACAAGUGGGCCCGCUGGGCCUGAGCUCAGGUGGCGCCCGCAAGGGUGGGGGUGGAGCUCCCACCGACCCAUCCAUCAGCUCACUGUGGGCCCCGGGCUCCUGCACUGGCCUUCACAGUUUCAGCAACUCUGAUGGCUGGAGGUGAGGGUACCAUCCCCACUCUGCUUCUGAACCCAGGAUGCAGUGCCCCUCUCCUUGCAGGCAGACCUUGGGCAGUGCAGGCCUCGCAGCUGGAAGACCAACAGCUGCGAGAGCCCCAUCACGGGGCGUAGUUUUGUGAACCCCAUCUUCCAGGUGAAGUUACUGCUGGUGACAGGCUGUUUUUUCCUCUAUAAUUGUUAAGAGAAAUACACUCAUUUCAGCUUAUUCAAAACCAUGGAAAAUCAUUGAGGUUUUCCCUGUUUGAAGGUCAAACUAUACAAAGGUAGGUGGACUCAUAGAAAUC